UACGGGAGGCAGCAGUGGGGAAUAUUGCACAAUGGGCGCAAGCCUGAUGCAGCCAUGCCGCGUGUAUGAAGAAGGCCUUCGGGUUGUAAAGUACUUUCAGUCGUGAGGAAGGUGUUAAGGUUAAUAACCUUAGCAAUUGACGUUAGCGACAGAAGAAGCACCGGCUAACUCCGUGCCAGCAGCCGCGGUAAUACGGAGAGGGCUAGCGUUAAUCGGAAUUACUGGGCGUAAAGGGCACGCAGGCGGUUAAUUAAGUUGGAUGUGAAAUCCCCGGGCUUAACCUGGGAAUGGCAUUCAAGACUGGUUAGCUAGAGUCUUGUAGAGGGGGUAGAAUUCCAUGUGUAGCGGUGAAAUGCGUAGAGAUGUGGAGGAAUACCGGUGGCGAAGGCGGCCCCUGGACAAAGACUGACGCUCAUGUGCGAAAGCGUGGGGAGCAAAC
rnacentral:rRNA from 1 species